GUGCCACGCGGUAAUACGUACCGUCCAAACGUUAUUCGGAAUUACUGGGCUUAAAGGGUACGUAGGCGGCGCUGUUAGUCGGGUGUGAAAUCCCAGGGCUCAACCCUGGAACUGCGCCCGAUACUGCAGUGCUUGAGGGAGACAGAGGUAAGCGGAACUGAUGGUGGAGCGGUGAAAUGCGUUGAUAUCAUCAGGAACACCGGUGGCGAAAGCGGCUUACUGGGCCUCUUCUGACGCUGAGGUACGAAAGCUAGGGGAGCGAAGGGG
rnacentral:rRNA from 1 species